rnacentral:tRNA from 1 species
GCCCGCAUGGCGGAAUGGUAGACGCAGCGGUCUUGAAAACCGAGUUCCUAGGCGGGAAGUGCAGGUUCGAAUCCUGUUGCGGGCACCA